UACGGAGGGUGCAAACGUUAUUCGGAAUCAUUGGGCUUAAAGGGUGCGUAGGCGGGCUCGUGAGUCAGGUGUGAAAUUUCGGAGCUUAACUCCGAAACUGCAUUUGAUACUGCGGUGCUCGAGGACUGGAGAGGAGACUGGAAUUUACGGUGUAGCAGUGAAAUGCGUAGAGAUCGUAAGGAAGACCAGUGGCGAAGGCGGGUCUCUGGACAGUUCCUGACACUGAGGCACGAAGGCCAGGGGAGCAAACGGG
rnacentral:rRNA from 1 species